ACUUUACAAUGCGGGAAACCGUGAUAAGGGAACUCUCCGAGUGCCCGUAAAAUCGGGCUGUCCAUCAGUUUAAAUAACCGGUGAAGAAAGGGCCGGGCAAGACCGGUGCCAGCCGCCGCGGUAAUACCGGCGGCUCGAGUGGUGGCCACUAUUACUGGGCUUAAAGCGUUCGUAGCUGGUUUGUUAAGUCUCUGGGGAAAUCUUCCGGCUUAACCGGAAGGCGUCUCAGGGAUACUGGCAGACUAGGGACCGGGAGAGGUGAGGGGUACUUCAGGGGUAGGA
rnacentral:rRNA from 1 species